rnacentral:misc_RNA from 1 species
GAUGAAGAACGUAGCGAAAUGCGAUAAGUAGUGUGAAUUGCAGAAUUCAGUGAAUCAUCGAAUCUUUGAACGCACAUUGCGCCUCCUGGCAUUCCGGGAGGCAUGCCUGUUCGAGCGUCAUCAAACCCCAUCGUGCAAAUGAAUUAUUUUUUUUGCGCGGAAGUGACGAUUGAGCGAGAAUAACAAAUCCUCUCGCACCUCGUCGAAAUGAUUGCGGGCGGAAUUUGGGAUCGGGUUCCUCGGCGUAGUGUAUCAAUGCAUAUUUAUGCAACUUGCCGCGGAGUUGAGCCUGACCCACGCGUUCUCGCCGUACAAGCACCUCAUUACUUUACAAGUUUUUGACCUCGGAUCAGGUAGGGAUACCCGCUGAACUUAAGCAUAUCAAUAAGCGGAGGA